AAUGAACGUUGGCGGCGUGGAUUAGGCAUGCAAGUCGAGCGGUAGGGAACUGCUCACUCGGGGCUGUGCUGAAUUCUCGCGAAUUCAGCUACACAGCUUCAGGUGAGCAGUUCCUGAGAGCGGCGAAAGGGAGAGUAAUACGUAGUUACGUACCCCGAGGACCGGAAUAGCCACGGGAAACUGUGGGUAAUGCCGGAUGAUGUCUUCGGACCAAAGGUGUGAUUCCGCCUUGGGAGCGGACUGCGUUGUACUAGCUAGUUGGUGGGGUAAUGGCCUACCAAGGCGAUGAUGCAUAGCGGGCGUGAGAGCGUGGCCCGCCUCACUGGGACUGAGACACUGCCCAGACACCUACGGGUGGCUGCAGUCGAGAAUCUUCGGCAAUGGACGAAAGUCUGACCGAGCGACGCCGCGUGCGGGAUGAAGGCCUUCGGGUUGUAAACCGCUGUCGUAGGGGAGGAAAUUGAUCGGGGUUCUCCCCGGUCAUUGACCUAUCCUAGGAGGAAGGACGGGCUAAGUUCGUGCCAGCAGCCGCAGUAAAAC
rnacentral:rRNA from 1 species